GGCCACACAGAUUCAUUGCAGCAUCCUUC
rnacentral:piRNA from 1 species